UUAAUAUAAAAAUUAUCUUUAAAUUAUUUAUAAAUUUGGACUAUUUUUUCAAUUCACUAGUACAUCAUUUUUAUUUUUUUCUAUCUAAGUUUAAUUGUUGUAGUCUUUAUUGAAGUUAAAUUCUAUGUUAUCAAACUCAAAUUAGUAAUUGGUGUAAAAUUCCUUGGAAUAAAAAAUUUAUCUACAACUUAUCAACUUUGAUAUAAGAAGGGUAGUCAUUAGAUAUUAUUACUUAAUAUCUAUCAAUAAAUCUUAUUAAUAUCUAUCUCUUCCAUACUAUUUAUUACUAUCAUAGAUUUCCAAUUAAUAUUAUAUUUGAUUGAGAAUCUUAAUAUGUGCCAAAGUUUUGGAUGACGUUUUUUAAUAUUCCAAAAGUUGAUAUUAGUUAUAUUUGAAUUUUCCAUUAAUGUAAUGUAAAUUUGAUGUUACUCUGGUAUAUUUGAUGGUACAUUUAUGUAAUAGUUGUAAUGUACCAUCAAAUAUAUUAAAGUAACGCUUGUUGUUUUGCUCUUAUUAGUGUAGCACAAGGCAGCAUUCCUUCGUCUUCUUCUUCAUCUCGCAUUUGGUCUCGAUCCCAUUCGUUCGGUAUGCAGGGCGAGGAUGAGCCAGGCUUGCUGGAGCGGCAAGGACGGAUCCAUUCUUCUUCGUUGUCCUCGUCCUCGUAUCACCGUCUUCUUCCUUAGAUGCUGCUGCUGCGAGUGGGAAGCUUUUGUUUGCUAGUGUAAAUGGAGGUUCAUUCCCUCUCUUUCUCUCGCUUUAUAGUGUGUGGACUCCGUGCCAGAUUGGGAGGGCGAUGGAUGGCACUCUAGACCACCGCCGAGGAACAUUAGCUAUCGCUAGGUUCUCCACUUCACCACCUUCACCACGCUGCGGCAGCAGAGCAUCCGCUACGUCC
rnacentral:lncRNA from 1 species